rnacentral:rRNA from 1 species
GCGGAGGGAUCAUUACCGAGUUAACGCUCAAAAAACCCACUGUGAACCUUACCUAUAUUUUGUUGCUUCGGCGGGCGGCCCCCUCGGGGGGGCCCCCGGGCCUCUCUCGAGGUGCCCGCCGACGGCAGCGCGGAUCGCUCUGUCUUGUACUUCCUAGCGUCGUCUGAAUUCGUGAUCUUUAGCGAGAAGAACACUAAAAACUUUCAACAACGGAUCUCUUGGCUGUGGCAUCGAUGAAGAACGCAGCGAAAUGCGAUAACUAAUGUGAAUUGCAGAAUUCAGUGAAUCAUCGAGUCUUUGAACGCACAUUGCGCCCGCCGGUAUUCCGGCGGGCAUGCCUGUCCGAGCGUCAUUACGACCCUCGUGCCCCCCAGGGGGCGCGGUGUUGGGUGUCCCGCGGCCCUCGCGUCGCGGGCUCCCUAAAUGUAUAGGCGGUCCCGCCUGGCGGCUCCUUGCGCAGUAGUACUCCUUCUCGCACGGGGCCCCGGGCGGCCGAUCAGCCCCUAAACCGAAGGAGAAGAACACGCCUCUAGGGGCGGCGACGCCUCUCCUUCACUUGACGUUGACCUCGGAUCAGGUAGGGAUACCCGCUGA